rnacentral:lncRNA from 1 species
CCGGAAUAUGGAGAAGUAAUUCAGCUACAGGGUGACCAACGCAAGAACAUAUGCCAGUUCCUCGUAGAGAUUGGACUGGCUAAGGACGAUCAGCUGAAGGUUUAAAAACCUCACAGCUUGUAUAAUGUAACCAUUUGGGGUCCGCUUUUAACUUGGACUAGUGUAACUCCUUCAUGCAAUAAACUGAAAAGAGCCAUGCUGUCUAGUCUUGAAGUCCCUCAUUUAAACAGAGGUCAAGCAAUAGGCGCCUGGCAGUGUCAAGCCUGAAACCAAGCAAUACCGUCAUGUUUCAGCCAAGCCCAGAGCCCUAAGAUUACAAACAACUAUGGCCGGAACCUCCUCAGCUCUCCCUCUGCAGAGUUCCCUACCCUAAGAGAAUGUUACCACCUGAACAGUCCUCGGUGAAUCUGAGAGGAGAGGAUGGGGUAAGGCAGAAGCACCAGCUGUACUACUAGAAGGGAGCUUUUGGUGGUAGAUCCCCUGGUGUCUCCAACCUGACUAGGUGGACAGAGCUCAAAGAGGCCCUCUUACCGCUAGCGAGGUGAUAGGACAUCUGGCUUGCCACAAAGGUCUGUUCGACCAGACAUAUCCUAGCUAAGGGAUGUCCAAACAUCAGAAUGUGAGGCCAACCUUCUAUCAGAGUUAAACUUUUGACAAGGGAACAAAUCUCAAACUGAUCCAUCAGUCAUGUAGCUAGCUGUAGAGCUUGCAACUUAAUAGCAGCAGCUGCCCAAUGCCAUGUGAAGUAACAAACUGGUUUUUGGUUUUUUUUUCCCCUUCAGUUUUAAUGUUAUGUGUAAUGUAUUUAAACCCUUAUUUAAAUAAAAC